rnacentral:rRNA from 1 species
GAUGAACGCUGGCGGCGUGCCUAAUACAUGCAAGUCGAGCGAACGGACGAGAAGCUUGCUUCUCUGAUGUUAGCGGCGGACGGGUGAGUAACACGUGGAUAACCUACCUAUAAGACUGGGAUAACUUCGGGAAACCGUAGCUAAUACCGGAUAAUAUUUUGAACCGCAUGGUUCAAAAGUGAAAGACGGUCUUGCUGUCACUUAUAGAUGGAUCCGCGCUGCAUUAGCUAGUUGGUAAGGUAACGGCUUACCAAGGCAACGAUGCAUAGCCGACCUGAGAGGGUGAUCGGCCACACUGGAACUGAGACACGGUCCAGACUCCUUCGGGAGGCAGCAGUAGGGAAUCUUCCGCAAUGGGCGAAAGCCUGACGGAGCAACGCCGCGUGAGUGAUGAAGGUCUUCGGAUCGUAAAACUCUGUUAUUAGGGAAGAACAUAUGUGUAAGUAACUGUGCACAUCUUGACGGUACCUAAUCAGAAAGCCACGGCUAACUACGUG